rnacentral:sRNA from 1 species
CGAUAUAAGGAUGAAGGGAAAUCCAAAUCUGUGCUUGCACAGAGAUUUGGAUUUUUCUGAAGACUGAACGGACAUGAGGAAAAAAGAUACGCGAGCAUAGCGAGCGGAUUGAUUUCCGAAUGGACGUAGGAUUGCGAGAGCGAAGCGGAGCAAUCCGUAUAUCG